rnacentral:lncRNA from 1 species
UUUUUUUUAAUGGCACAAUUUUUUUUAUUAAUAAGAUCACAAAAGAAGUUCAAGAUGUACCCCUAAGGAAAAAAAAGAAAAACAAACAAGUAAGCCUGAUACAAUGCCAUAGACAUGAUUCUGUCAUAUGACCCUUGCCCCAAGUAAAUUGUGCCUGCAUGGUAACUGAACCAAAAUGAAUCAAAUUGUUGUAUAAACUCCAAUGAUCAAAAAGAGCAAAACACACAACUCAGGACUCCAAAAUGGUCAAUACUUGAAAAAGUUAAAUGGACAGGAAGGACCAUAAUGCAUUUGAAAAAGUACUGAUAAUGCAAUCCUCC